GCGAGUGAGGCCUGACGCCCGGCCAGGAAGCCGAGUGGUCCGGUAGCGUCAGCCCCGCCUGCGCUGACUCAGCUCUUCCGGUGGAGUCAGCGGUGGUUCCCGACUGCCUGGGUGGUGCGGGCGGCGAGCGUCACAGCGCAGUAAAGCGCCCCGGCCGCCCCUCCUGGCAGGCCGAGCUCUGGCCUCGCGGUGACUCAGCCGCUUCCGCUCCCUACGGCCCGGCGGAGCUCCGGCCGCUGCCGCGACGCGCUUCCGUCAGCCCCGAAAGGGAUUAACAGCUUCAGAGAGAAGAAGGGAGAGAAGAAGGAAGAGAGAAAGAAACAUUGAUGCAAGAGAGAAGCAUCAAUCAAUUGCUUACAGUAGGUGUCCAGACCAGGGAUUAUAUGUGCCCUGACCAGGGAUUGAACCCACAACCCAGUUUUGCUUCCUCUGAGUUGACUUCAUUCCCAGGCAGCCUCUCCCUAUGUGGUAACGAAGAUGGCCAACAGCAGCUCCACGUUACAUUCUACCAAAUUAUUAACCGCAGCAGAGAGUGCUUCUCUUCUGAGAGCUCCAGUCACAUUCCCAGUAUUAUUUACAGUCAUCAAGAUUUGGAAGCAGCUCAAGUAUCUAUCAGUAGAUGAAUGGAUAAACCAGCUAUGGUACAUUUACACAAUGGAAUACUACGCAGCCAUAAAACAGAAGAAAACUUGACUCUUUGCAACUGCAUGAAUGGACCUGGAGAACAUUAUGCUAAGUGAAAUAAGCCAGCCAGAGAAAGACAAAUACCAUAUGAUUUCACUCAUAUGUGGAAUCUGUUGAACAAACUGAACUAACAAGGAAAAUGGGGAUAGACUCAUAGACAGAGAGCAGGCUGACAGCUGUGGGAUGGGGGUUGUGGGGGUUGUGGAGGGAUCAAGCAAAAAAGAAAAAGAACUCAUGGACAUAGACG